GUUAAUUUUGUGUUGUAGCCAUGGAUGAAUGUCCAUUGUCACUCCUUGGAAAUUCACCUUCUAUGCCAAAUGUACAAGCCCCUUAAUCCCAAUAUGAUACUAUUGAGGCUGAUGUCCAACUUGAAAUUGUUAAUGUUUCAAUUGAUGUAGAGGAUGAUGAAGAUUACAAUUUAAGUGAUUUUUCUGAAUCUGAUGAUGAUAUAAAUAAAGAUUUUGGUAUGAAAGAUGAUGGAAUCAACAGAACAAUUGGGGGCAAGCUGCUUGAGGGAGUUUGGGAUGGUGAAGGAGACUCAGAUCAUGGGGAUAGUGAUGAGUUGAAGAGUGCAGAAUGAUCAUCAGAUAAUGAAGGGAACCCAAGACCUAGGUUCCCUGAAUUUAACUAGCGCAUUGGAAUGAAAAAUGUACAACUUGAAAAUGAUCUCAAAUUUGCAUCACAUGUAGUCUUCAAGGAGGCACUAAAGGAGUGGUGUAUUAGAGAAAAACAUGACUUUGAGUAUAAACACAAUGAUAAGUGGAGAGUGACAGUUGUAUGUAAAAAAAAUUUGGUUGGAAGAUACAUGCAUCCCAAACACAAAUGGGAGAUGCCUUUCAAAUCAAGAGUUUUAAGAGCAUACAUACAUGCGACAAGGAUCAUAAGAAUAGUAAGAUUUCUUCAGGGUGGCAGGCCAAUAAGUAUUUACCAUUCUUUAGGGAUGAUCGUAGUUGGACAGCAAAUGCAUUGAAGGGUGUAAUGUUUAGGGACCAUGAAGUUGAUGUGACUUUAGAUCAAUGUAAUAAGGCUAAGAGAAUGGCCUUUAAGAUGAUACAUGGUGCUGAGGAAUAGCAUUAUGAGAGACUUUGGGACUAUGCAGCCACUAUUAGGAAGUGGAAUAUAGGUAGCACAAUGAAGAUACAAAUUGUGAAUAAUGUGUUUGAGAGGAUGUAUGUUUUAUCUUGAUGCUUGCAAAAGGGGAUUCUUAGCAGGUUGUAGGCCACUUAUUGGGAUAGAUUGUUGUCAUUUGAAGGGGACAACAGAGGGACAGUUGCUGGUUGCUGUUGGGAAGGAUGGGAAUGAUAAUAUUUUUCCAAUUGCUUAUGCUAUUGUUGAAAUUGAGAAUUAAAGCUCUUGGACUUGGUGUCUACAAUGCCUGUUGGAUGACAUUGGAAUUUGGACAUGUGGAUGAGAAUGGAUGGGUCUUUAUCUCAAAUUGACAGAAAGCAAGAAACAAUUAAUGUGCAUAGAUUAAUAGAGACCUUUAAGGAUUUUAUACCUAAUGUAGAGCACAAAUUUUGUGUUAGGCAUUUACACGCAAAUUUCAAGAAGGAUUUUCCAGGGAAGGUACUCAAAGAUGUAAUGUGGAAAGCUGCUAGGGCAGCAACAAAGAAUUCUUUUAACUUCCAUAUGGAUGAGUUGAAGAAGCUAGAUGUGAAGGCAUACUAGUGGCUUGUGAAGUAAGUAUGGAUGACUUUUUAUUUUAUGGUUGUAUAUUAUAUAGGGUACUCAGCAAUCAAAUAUGGGUAUUCAACAAUCAAGUCAAAGUCGAAUAAAGAAGGACGACACUAACAGAAGCAAGAAGGAUAAGGGAAAGGCUAAGGUUCUAGUGGUAGCCGGAAGAUAAAUAAUGUUUUAGUUCAGUAUUUUGUUUACUGAUGGAGCCGGUAUACUUUUGUUUUUCAAUAUUGUUGGAAAAGUGUGAUUAUUGAUUCAUCGAGUGUUAUUUUUAGGCAAACAAUAUACUAUUUGUAAACACUCAUUAUUAUUCCAAUCCAUGGGAGAUUGAGAC